rnacentral:lncRNA from 1 species
UCACAUCUUGCCUUCUAUUAAAGGAGGGUGGGCUUGAGUGUUUCCGUGCUGAAGGGACAGUGUGAGGAGAGCAGCUCAGUGUGGUUGAUAAGUAGGCCCCAAGGGUGCAGGCCUGAGGUCUUGGGGAGAGGCCAUGGGCUCUGCCGAGGGUGGGAGGAAGGCGAGGGCCCAAAGGACCGGUCCUGGUGCUUCCUUGUGUUGUGGAUAGGUCUUUGAGAUUAACUAGAUCCGGAUGAAGGGUUUUCACGAGGGACAUACACUGUGUGGGGCCUUGGUGUGAGGCUCCUGGGUACCUGUUAGGACCUUGCCUCCAUCCGUGUGGUGCCCAGUUUUGCUGGUUCUCAGGGGUUCCCCGGCUGCAUGUUAGAAUCCUGGUUUCUGUUCUGAUUCUCCUUCCAGGUGGGUGAAGAGGGACAGUUAUCUUCCCGUGGGCAGCCAUAACCUCAAGGCGGCUGCCAAGGCCAAGCUGGGCUAUGAUCCUGUGGAGCUGGACCCGGAGGACAUGUGCCGCAUGGCCACCGAGCAGCCCCAGGCACGUGAGCCACAUCCCGGCUCCCCUUGCUGCCGUGCGUGUGCACGUGUGCCAGCCCACUCCACCCAGCAGGCUGGCCAGGCCAGGCUUUGCUUUCUGUGCUUCACACUUGGCCGUGGGCUCUUGGCUCUGAUGACUCUGCUCUCUGGCGCUCUCUCCUCAGACGCUGGCCACGUACUCCGUGUCAGACGCCGUCGCCACUUACUACCUGUACAUGAAGUACGUCCACCCCUUCAUCUUCGCUCUGUGCACCAUUAUUCCCAUGGAGCCCGACGAGGUGCUGCGGAAAGGCUCUGGCACUCUGUGCGAGGCCUUGCUGAUGGUGCAGGCCUUCCACGCCAACAUCAUCUUCCCCAACAAGCAGGAGCAGGAGUUCAAUAAGCUAACGGACGAUGGACACGUGCUGGACUCCGAGACCUACGUGGGGGGCCACGUGGAGGCCCUCGAGUCUGGGGUCUUCCGCAGUGAUAUCCCUUGCCGGUUUAGGAUGAAUCCCGCCGCCUUUGAUUUCCUGCUGCAGCGGGUUGAGAAGACCUUGCGUCACGCCAUUGAGGAAGAAGAGAAGGUGCCCGUGGAACAAGUCACCAACUUUCAAGAGGUAACCGUCCAGGAGGCAGGAGGAGCUAGUCUGUUCAUGCGCCUUCUUCACAAACCACGUCUUUCAGCAGCACAUUCGUUGUGCGUCUGCUGCGUGUGGUGCUGUGGACGGAUGACACAGGGUCUCUGGUGGGACAGGGCAGUCAUGGUUGUGACGUGUGAUGCUUUCUACCGAGGUCGGAGGGCUUCAUGAGAAGGUGGGGUGUGAGCUGCUCCUGAAAUGUGGUCACACGGCAGGUGGGCCCUGGUGGGAUGUGUUCGUGCCCCGUUUUAAGGCAUUGGGACUUUAUUUCGUAGGCAUUGGGGAGACAUUGGA